UACGUAGGUGACAAGCGUUAUCCGGAUUUAUUGGGCGUAAAGCGCACGCAGGCGGCAGAGAAAGUCUGACGUGAAAUCUCCCGGCUUAACCGGGAGCGGUCGUUGGAAACUACUUGGCUUGAGGCGAGGAGAGGGGUGCGGAAUUCCCGGUGUAGUGGUGGAAUGCGUAGAUAUCGGGAGGAACAUCAGUGGCGAAAGCGGCACCCUGGCCUUAGCCUGACGCUCAGGUGCGAAAGCGUGGGGAGCGAACGGG
rnacentral:rRNA from 2 species